UACGGAGGGGGCUAGCGUUGUUCGGAAUUACUGGGCGUAAAGCGCGCGUAGGCGGUGCGAUUAGUCAGGCGUGAAAGGCCCGGGCUCAACCCGGGAACGGCGCUUGAUACUAUGGUGCUAGAGUCCGGGAGAGGAUGGCGGAAUUCCCAGUGUAGAGGUGAAAUUCGUAGAUAUUGGGAAGAACACCGGUGGCGAAGGCGGCCAUCUGGCCUGGAACUGACGCUGAGGCGCGACAGCGUGGGGAGCAAACAGG
rnacentral:rRNA from 1 species